rnacentral:rRNA from 1 species
ACUUUUUGGUUUUGUAAUUGGAAUGAGUUAAGUAUAAACCCCUUUACAAGUAUCAAUUGGAGGGCAAGUCUGGUGCCAGCAGCCGCGGUAAUUCCAGCUCCAAUAGCGUAUAUUAAAGUUGUUGCAGUUAAAAAGCUCGUAGUUGGAUUUCUGUUAAUAAUUUAUAUAAAAUAUUUUGAUGAAUAUUUAUAUAAUAUUAACAUAAUUCAUGUUACUAUAUAUUUUAGUAUAUGAAAUUUUACUUUGA